CAAUAGCGUAUAUUAAAGUUGUUGCAGUUAAAAAGCUCGUAGUUGGAUUUCUGCUGAGGACGAUCGGUCCGCCCACUGGGUGAGUAUCUGGCUCGGCCUUGGCAUCUUCUUGGAGAACGUUGCUGCACUUGACUGUGUGGCGCGGUAUCCAGGACUUUUACUUUGAGGAAAUUAGAGUGUUUCAAGCAGGCGCACGCCUUGAAUACAUUAGCAUGGAAUAAUGAGAUAGGACCUUGGUUCUAUUUUGUUGGUUUCUAGAGCUGAGGUAAUGAUUAAUAGGGAUAGUUGGGGGCAUUCGUAUUUAACUGUCAGAGGUGAAAUUCUUGGAUUUGUUAAAGACGGACUAAUGCGAAAGCAUUUGCCAAGGAUGUUUUCAUUGA
rnacentral:rRNA from 1 species